rnacentral:rRNA from 1 species
AGAGUUUGAUCCUGGCUCAGGGCUAACGCUGGCGGCGUGUCUUAGCCAUGCAAGUCGAGCGGUCCUAUGGGGCGACCUAUAGGAUAGCGGCGGACGGCGGAGUAACACGUAGCUAACCUACCCUCCGGACGGGGAUAACCAUUCGAAAGGGUGGCUAAUACCCGAUGGAGUCAUCCGCAAGGGUGAUGAAAGGUGGGCCUCUGUUUACAAGCUCAUGCCGGGGGAGGGGGCUGCGGCCUAUCAGGUAGUUGGUGGGGUAAAGGCCCACCAAGCCUAUGACGGGUAGCCGGCCUGAGAGGGUGACCGGCCCGAGGGACACUGAGACACGGGUCCCACUCCUACGGGAGGCAGCAGGCUAGAAAUUUGGGCAAUGGGGGAAACCCUGACCCAGUGACGCCGCGUGCAGGAAGGAGCCCUUCGGGGUGUAAACUGCUGUCGUGCGGGGCGAAGGGUUUAUAGGCGAAUAGUCUAUAGACUUGACGGUACCGCAGGAGGAAGCCCAGGCUAACCUCGUGCCAGCAGCCGCGGUAAUACGGGGUGGGCGAGCGUUGCCCGGAAUUACUGGGUUUAAAGGGGGUGUAGGCGGUCUGGAUAGUCAGGUGUGUAAUCCAAUCGCUCAACGAUUGGACUGCAUCUGAUACUUUCAGGCUAGAGGGCGGUAGAGGAGAGCGGAACUCCCGGUGUAGCGGUGAAAUGCGUAGAUAUCGGGAGGAACGCCGGGUGGCGAGGCGGCUCUCUGGGCCGUUCCUGACGCUGAGGCCCGAAAGCUGGGGGAGCGAAAGGGAUUAGAUACCCCUGUAGUCCCAGCCGUAAACGAUGGGCACUAGGUGUGCCUCUAUAUAGGGGUGUGCCGACGGGAAACCAUUAAGUGCCCCACCUGGGGAGUACGCCCGCAGGGUGAAACUCAAUUGAAUGACGG